GGAGCUGUAAAGAUAAGACAAGAGUCAGCAAGUCCAGAUCUUACGGCUUCCAGGUUACAGCAAGAGUUACAGGAGAUAAGGGAAAUGGGCGGUUCCUGGUACGGUGAUCUGUGAAGGAACAACUUCAGUGUCCACACUCAGACUAAAGCAGAUAAGGUGAUACGCCCAACCAUCCUGCUUUCCAUCUGAGGCUACCACAGCCUACGGAUGGCGAGGAGCCUCAUGAGGCAGCAAGGUAUCACCCAUUCGUAUCGGUCCUGCGGCAGGAACGUACGGACACGUUUCCACCUGCUAGGCUGCAGGCAAGACCCUUGGGACACGGCAGUACUGGAGAGCUGGAGAAGAGGGCCGCUUCCUGAGCCAUGAGCUGAUCUGUCUGCACUGACACUUUGCUGGGGGCUGCACCGGCUUUGCCUACGCCGCUAAUGGCAGCAGCACAUGCACGCAGCACAACACGCCCGUGUGCCAAGGGCCGGCUCUGCUCCGCUCCAGCUACAACAAGCAGCAACGCCUAGGUCUGAAGCCAGCAGCUGGCCUGGGGCACCAAAGCGGGGCACCUGCAGGGCGGCUGCGGCCAGCGGGUUGGUGUCGGCGGCGCAUCGCCACCCACCAGAGCGCGUUGUUCGGACACCGGACAAGCGCAGAGCGGCUCUGCAGACCCGACAGCCCCUGCAGGUGCAGGACACCGGUACCCGCGGGGCUGAUCCCAACCCCGCCGGGGCUGCGCCUGCCUGUGCCACCCGCUGCCUCGGGGAUCCCGCAGCCCCGCUUGGGAACGGCUGCUGCACGGCCUGGAAGCAGUUUUAGAUGCUGACCCUGAGCCAGAUGCUGCCAUUUAACAAGCUGUUGUUUGUGAGCACCCCUUUCAGAAGUGCUUGCAAAGGUCAGGGAAGAGCUUGCAAAUGAAUGCUGCAUUUCCUUGUAAACUGAAGCAUCAAGCCGUCAAGUUCACAAAGAGAGUCAAGUCCAGAGUUUGGCGUGAAACCCAGAAGCCCUCACCAAGUAAUCUACUGCUAAACUGCAUAAGGUUUUUUUUCUGUCUUUUGGCAGCUAAUCUAUGUGUUUUCCUGUGAUCACAUUAUACUGUCUCAGUGGGACAUGAUGUGCAGCAGCAAUACACAGUUAUAUUCUGUGCUAGUUAAAGCUUAAACAAAAUUACUAGAAAUAUGCUCAAAGUAUACAGCAUAAAUUCUACCUGCGAACUUGCCACUGCGAGCUCAUGGAUUUUUCUCCCACUGACUGAUUUCUGGUAGAUGAGGACUGUAGGGCUGAUGGCACUUUCUGUUGGUAGAAGAAACCAUUCUGUAUCACCCAAGCUUUUUCGUAUGUCACCCUGAGGCAGCGCGCACACAGCAGCUGAUCAGGUCAAGACAAACUUUUGCAUGUUGGGCUGUCUCUUCAGACCAUGCUUGUAUAUUCAGGAUGAUAGAUGUACAUGAUUUAACAUGAUUUAACAUGUAAAGCACUGUGUGGUGGAUAAACAUAGGCUGCUUCAGUCUGAGAGCUGCUCGAUUGAUUUGCUUGUAAUCA